rnacentral:rRNA from 1 species
ACGCUGGCGGCGUGCCUAAUACAUGCAAGUAGAACGCUGAAGGAGGAGCUUGCUUCUCUGGAUGAGUUGCGAACGGGUGAGUAACGCGUAGGUAACCUGCCUGGUAGUGGGGGAUAACUAUUGGAAACGAUAGCUAAUACCGCAUAAGAGUAGAUGUUGCAUGACAUUUGCUUAAAAGGUGCAAUUGCAUCACUACCAGAUGGACCUGCGUUGUAUUAGCUAGUUGGUGGGGUAACGGCUCACCAAGGCGACGAUACAUAGCCGACCUGAGAGGGUGAUCGGCCACACUGGGACUGAGACAAGGCCCAGACUCCUACGGGAGGCAGCAGUAGGGAAUCUUCGGCAAUGGGCGGAAGUCUGACCGAGCAACGCCGCGUGAGUGAAGAAGGUUUUCGGAUCGUAAAGCUCUGUUGUAAGAGAAGAACGAGUGUGAGAGUGGAAAGUUCACACUGUGACGGUAUCUUACCAGAAAGGGACGGCUAACUACGUGCCAGCAGCCGCGGUAAUACGUAGGUCCCGAGCGUUGUCCGGAUUUAUUGGGCGUAAAGCGAGCGCAGGCGGUUAGAUAAGUCUGAAGUUAAAGGCUGUGGCUUAACCAUAGUACGCUUUGGAAACUGUUUAACUUGAGUGCAAGAGGGGAGAGUGGAAUUCCAUGUGUAGCGGUGAAAUGCGUAGAUAUAUGGAGGAACACCGGUGGCGAAAGCGGCUCUCUGGCUUGUAACUGACGCUGAGGCUCGAAAGCGUGGGGAGCAAACAGGAUUAGAUACCCUGGUAGUCCACGCCGUAAACGAUGAGUGCUAGGUGUUAGACCCUUUCCGGGGUUUAGUGCCGCAGCUAACGCAUUAAGCACUCCGCCUGGGGAGUACGACCGCAAGGUUGAAACUCAAAGGAAUUGACGGGG